UUUGAUUAGGAUUGUUUGGUUUGGUCAUGGUCUUCACGUAGAUGCUACCUGCAAUGUUGAAGAGUCUGGAUUGAGAAAAUGUUUCAAGCUUAAUAUAUGGAUGUCCUGACAUUUCUGCAAAUGCUGUACGCCUGCUAGUGCAAGAGGAUUUGGUCCGUCCACAUGUUAUGACUGAGUGGACCAUGGAAAUCUUUGAGCUCUGCCAGUGUAAAAGGAGACUGUACAGGUGAUGCGUUAUGGCUGUUUUCACACCACGCGUCCCAGCAGAAGUGGACGGCUCUCCGCAGUGGAUCUCCGGUUCAGAAAGCUCCACAGCAUUGAAGGCACUGCGCUUAUUCCUGAGGCAAAACCGCUGCCCUCGUUUUCCUCUCUCAGUGGAUGGUACUCCUUAAACCGCCUGAAGAAAAACAUCGCCCAAAGGUUUUCCACACAUAGAUGAAGCGUGGCUUUUUGUUGGUGGUCCUAUUGAAGGGUGUCCUGUCAGGAAAAACACCGCUCCAGUCUUGAGG